rnacentral:rRNA from 1 species
UACGGAGGGUGCAAGCGUUAUCCGGAUUCACUGGGUUUAAAGGGUGCGUAGGCGGACAGGUAAGUCAGUGGUGAAAUCUCCGAGCUUAACCCGGAAACUGCCGUUGAUACUAUUUGUCUUGAAUAUUGUGGAGGUAAGCGGAAUAUGUCAUGUAGCGGUGAAAUGCUUAGAUAUGACAUAGAACACCAAUUGCGAAGGCAGCUUACUACAUAAUGAUUGACACUGAGGCACGAAAGCGUGGGGAUCAAACAGG